rnacentral:tRNA from 1 species
UCUAAAUAGUUUAAAAAGAACAAAGCUUUGAAGCAGCUUAAGUAAUGAUAAAUUUUUGGAUAG